ACAUCAUCUGCAAUAGGUGUAAAAGAAGCACUAUCCCCUUUGGCUUUGACCUCAUUAGCAUCUUCAUUCAAUUGCUUUUGAAGGGCGUCAUAGGCCUUGAUGAUAGACCAAUAGGCUGUACCUACUGGAUUAAUGUAAACUGCAUCCAGGUAGUCUCUGUUCCUUCGAGGUCUAUAGUCUAUGGUCCAACCUGAAGUCAGCAGCAUCUCCCGUAUUCUCUCUCGCAGUUUCUGUUUUUCUGUACCACUACCACGCUUGAUUUUUCCUUCUUUCGCUUUUGUGCUUGAGAGUUUAUCAUGCACAGGAGUCUGUUCAUCCUCAGAGAACAUCUUUUUUACAGGCUCACGAGCUACAGUAUUUCUUACCCCGGGAUUUAAUGAUGUGUCACUGUUAUCUGAACCCCCCUCAUCACCCUUGCCAUCCUUGCUUGACAAAUAUUUUCUUGAUGCUAUCUGUUUCUUCUCCACCCUCUUGAGUACUCCUGGUUUCUCAACAGGUUUUGUUUCCAGGUUUGAUGAAGGACGAGUUGGAACAUUCCUCUUGGCAGUCUCUUCAAUCUUCAUCCUCUUGAUGGGCUCUUCAGGUUUCAACCUUUGCCAGCUUUCCAAAGGUUUGUGAUGAUUGUAGUACUGUUCUGAUUGCCCACACACCUUCUUCUUAUUAACCAUUACCUUCAAAACACCAUUUUUCCCCUGAACCCUGAUAGACUCAUCCGAAUUAAACUUCUCCCUCUGCAAGGGUAUAGGUACCCGAACACCAUCUCUGUUACUCUUGAACCUAAUGCGAUCAAGAUUAUCUCCAGGAAACAAGCCACUUGACCUGUCUACAUAAGAGUUCUUCCGCUUAUCAACAAGACGACCACUUGACCCAUUCUUCAAUUCCCUAUCAAUGCCACUCCUAGUAGCAUGAACCGACCCCAUAAAACUUCUUCCUCCAAAACCAGCUGCAUUACCAUCCAAAUGCCUCCUCCUCAUGUUCUCCACAUCCAUACCAUCAUAUUCUUCUAAAUUGUACACAUCCAACUUACUACGCUUAUUCACCCACUGCUCCAAACCUUUAUCCGCACCCCUAAUUCGUUCCAUUCUGUGCCUCUUCCUACUAAUCUCACUCCCAACCCUCUCAGACGCAGCCAAACCAUUGCAAACACGAAUAGUCUCAGACCCAAGCCUUCUACCAGGUGGAAUCAGCAACUCGUCGCUUGAUCCAGAAUCACUAACAGGCACACUGAUGUUGGCCCUUUUCUUCGAUUCAUAGAACUUCCUAGAGGUGGAAGCAGUAGCAUCCAACCCAUCCCCUUUCUUUCGCACAAUCAAACAACCCGAGGAAUUUCUGCUCUUCACCACAACCCCAGAACCACCCGAUCUCACUUCUGAUUCCAUCUACCAAAGCCCCUCGCCAAAAUUAGCAUCUCCCGCAACCAAAACUAAACCCUAAUCUCCAGAUCUAAAGCAAAAUCGUUCUUAACUUUACACACUCAUCCCCUUCCCCUCAGACCAAAACAAAAUUCCAACCUUACCUCGCCGGAAAAUUCACGGAUUCCGUCCCCGGAAUAAACUGUGUGAAGCGAGUAAUCCCCGCCGAAAAGUGUUCCGAGGGCGACCGAAGUCGGAGAGAAAUUGAGACGAAAAAUUGGAGAGAAACUGAGAGGGGAAGAGAUUUUGGGUUGCGAUUUGCAGAAGCAACAACUAAGCUAAUAUCAUAAUCAAUCGAUAAUAACAAAAAAAGUAAAAAAAAAAACGUAAACAGAAAACAAUGUUAGCUGUUCAUGGCUUUAUGUUUUGCUUAUUUUAUUUUCCCUCCAAAUUUUAUCUUUUGUUGAAUCGCACGGUUCUGAUGCUGCCACAUUGCAUAUCUUGCACGUGGCAGAAUCGCAACGGUUCCCACGACUGUUUAUACAGUUUUUCUUACACUUUUCAGUACUGUUUCUCGGUAAGUGAGUCUUCUACAGAAUUUCUAGAGACGUUACAAAUAAGUUUUUUUUUUUUUUUUUUAAAUAUCAGUUUUUUUUUACAAAUAAGUUAAACUAAACUGAAUUAAUUGAAAAUUGAAUUAAACUGAACAGUUAAAUAAAGAUAAGUGAUAUAUUUAGAACUUGCAUUAAUUUACAAUUAUAUUUUUUCUACGAAAAAUUUGAAUCAGUUUAUAAAAUAUUAAAAAUAACCUUUAUUCAUAUCAUCAAGUUUGUAUAUUGAAAUAGGUUCUCAAAGUAUUAUUAUUGUUAAACAAAUUAAAUGGAAGAUUUUAUUUAGUUUACUAAUUAUGUUUAUUAUUUUUCAGUUUACAUUUUUUAUCAAAAUAAUAUUGACUAUAAUUAACUAUAUUUUAAUCUAUAGAAAUCAAUCUCAAAGUUGGCUAAUCUAGAUAUGAAAAUAAUGGAAUAAUGUUUUAUUUUUUUAGACAAUUAGAACAUAUUUUAUAUUUUAUGUGUGAAAUUAUGUUGCACAAAUCAUAUAUAAAUUCCAUUAUUAUUAUUAUUAUUACUACAAUAUGAUCAAAAUCAAAUCUAUAAAUAAUAUUUGUACAUUCACUAAGUUUCUUUAUAUUAAACUGAAUAUUAAUUGAGCUUAGUUAAGUCAUAAAAGUAGUCAAUAACAAGUCUUCUCACACUCCAUAUUAAUAUUCUAAAAGUUCAAACUAGUUUAUUUGACUCAUUUUCAAACAAAAGCAUUCAAUAUAUUUAUAAUAUAUUAGUCAACAAUUGGAUAACACAUACUAAACUUUUUUAUAAUAAACUUAUUAAUAGACACAAUAAUAUUGAUGUUAAACAUAUCAGUAAUUUCACAAACAAAAUAAAAAAUUAAUUUAAUUUUAUAUAUGAACUUAGUGUAAUAAAAUAAUAUAAUAUAAAUAUUGAAAUCUUAAUACAAAAGAAAAUAAUUUAUCAAUAAAAAGUGAAUUUUUUAUCUUUAAGAGCACAUAAGGUGCAAUCAUUUUUAUCAACGUUGACUCAAAUUAAGCAUUGCUUACAGAAUUUUGUUAUUUAAAACAUCAUUUUGCUACUAGAUCGUUAUGGUACAGAAUAAGAUAAAUUAAUGAAAAAAUAUUAAUAGUGUAUUAAAGGUGAGACAAAAUUAAAUUAAAAGUUGACUUUAACAACACUGUCAUUAAAGUAAACUUGUGUAGUUUAAAUCUAUUUAAUAUUGAAAGAUCCACAAAUUAAUGUAAAUAACUUAUGUAAAGACAAAUAUAGUAUGAGUGUUCUAGUAGAAUCAUGUUCAAAAAUGAAAGUCUAACCUUUAUUUAUAAAUAAUUUUUUUAAUUAGUUUAAGCAUGCUAUCUUUAACAAAUGAAGUUAAAUUGGGUUAGACUUUCUAGAAGUUAGGUCAUAGGUAAAACAAAAAGUUGUGGAAAGAGAGUUUAAAUAGAGUAUUUAAAAAUAUUUUGGAAAGCUUCCUAUUAGAUACUUUGAUUAAAAUGGGUAAUUAACAAUAAGUGACUAAACUAAUAAAAAAAAAUAAACAUUUAGUUUAGACUUUGAUAAGUUCUAGUUUAUGUGAAUAUAUAAAGUGACUUUCGGCAGAAAAAAUAAUUUCCCUUUAAAAUUAAACAACAAACAUAUAGCAUCUAAGUAUAUAAUAGUAAAAUUGUUUUAUUAAAAAAUAUUUAAAAAGUUAGGCUCCUUAUUUUAAGACUCUUAGUUUCACAUUAAUAAAUGUUUUACAAAUAAAACUCAAUAUUUAUUUAUUUAUCAAAUGCAACAAUAAGAUAUGUGUAUUUUCAAAGUUUAUGUAAGACGUGUGUUUCAAAAAUGAAAUGUUGAAAAAAUAUGGCAAGUGAAAUGAAGAUGGUCACACUAUUAGGAAAUGUCAUUUAACACCACUACCUAACAUGUACCUAUUGAUGAAUUUGUUGAAGGAGUUGAAACAAGAUUUUAACUCAAUUGCUACAUAUCAAUGUUAGUUAAUUCCUCAUCCAUUGAUUUUAAUGUUGAAUAUGAAAUUAAAAUGGUGUACUUUUUUAUAUUAACCAUUUAAUUUAAUUGUCACACAUUUGUUAAUGUCCCCUACUAACACAUCAUGUUUUGAGUAAUGGUUAAAUCAUAGAUUACAGACCAGAUGACUGAAUGGAAGCCCAAUGCCCGAUCAAGAUCGAUCGACACUACCAUAUACUAAGAAAAUUGAAGAAAACAAAGGUUUGUUCAUGGUCUCUAAGCUGUUAUUUUGGUAAGGUUUGUCGGGGUAUAGCUGUGUAAGGCAACACAAAUAAGCGUUAACUCCAUGGGAAGCAGAGUUCGAACCAACAGGGGAGGCGAUCAAGGGAGGUUAAAUGACUACACUACCUUCUUCUUCUCGAACUUCCCCCAUGGCUAUGGAGAGUUGGACAUGGUCAAGGUCUUUCAAAGGAGAGCAAGGGUAAAAGAAGUUUUCAUAUCACGGAGGUUGAACAAAUGGGGUAGAAGAUUUGGGUUCGUUAGGUUCUUUGAAGUAAGAAAUGUGGAACGUCUUGAGAGGGAGUUGGACAGUCUCUUCGUCGGAAACAUGAAACUCCAUGUAAACGUUCCAAGAUAUUGAAGGCACCAAAUGGACUCUGUUAAGGAGGAGAGGAGGGAGACGAAGGUGAACCAUCUGGAAAAACAGAGGGACACAGGGAAACAAAAGGAGAUAUGGGUAGAGAAGAAAUGGAAUAGAUCUUUUGUAGACGUUGUGAAAGGAUAUGCAAACCAAGGGAAGUGGAAAAGACCAUCAAUUAAGUCGCUUUCCCACACUAUGCCUUGGAUGGUGAAUAGCGUUGUUGGGCAGUUUGAGAAGGCUUGGGAUGUUGAUCAGCUAGGAGAGGAGUUUGUGAAAGGAGGUUUGAACAGAGUCAGUAUAAGAUACAUGGGGGACAGAUUAGUGAUGUUGACCCCAAAGGAAGGAGAGAAAAUGGAGGAUAUUAUCAACUGUAAUAAAGUAUGGUUUGACAAUCUCUUUGUGAGUCUGAAACCGUGGUCGACGUCGCACAUGGCGGACCAUAAAAUUGCUUGGGUACGAUGCUAUGGAUUACCGUUACCUCUCUGGAAUGAGGAUUGCUUUACAAAGGUUUUAGGAGAUAUGGCUACGCUGGUAUCCAUAGACACUUCCACGUUGCUAUGGGAGAACCUGGAAUACGCAAGGUUGCAAGUCCGGGUGAAGAACCAAAGCUACAUCAGACUGGAGAAGAAAUUGUGGAUUAAUGAACAGAUUUGGAAUAUCCUCAUUGAAGAAGAACCCCCUGCUUGUCACGAAGGAAGGCACACGCAAUCCUGGUAUGGUGACUCGUCGGAUAGUGUGUCGUCAUCAAAGACUUUUAUUGAAGAAACGAUUUUCUCUUCUAAAAGCUGUGAGGAGGAGGCGAGGUCUGGGUCCAAGGAAGAACUUCGGUCAGAAGGGGAGGAGGACGGUGGCAAGGCGGUGGAAGAAGGUGAGGAAGGUGCACAUAAGACAAAUUUGUUUUUUAAGAUAAUUGCUGACAAAGACAGCCCUGACCAGAGUAUAGACUGCAUAUCUUGCAUGAAAGAAGAUAGAAUAGGCCAGGUUGCGUGUCGAGGUGCUGACCUAGAUGUCAACCCUGACCAAGGCCGUUCCCUUAUCUGCAAUAGUUACUCUACCCAUGCUGAGCUGGCCAAAGUAGUGGUAGAACUUGAAAGUUUUAACUCACAAGGGACCCCCGCUCUCUAUGUGGGCCAAGGAAGGAAGGUGGAGGCCCAAUGCCUUGUGGCCCAUAUUCCUUGUGAAACCCAAAUUGGGAAAAAAGACGUUGGACUGUGCACGUUGCAGGAGGCUCCUCGAAGUGAAAAUGCAAACGAAAAUAUCAAAUCUAUGAGCUGCCGUGGAGGUAAACAGGAGGAGAAGCGUGAGGAGGUUCAAACCGGUGAAAGAGAGGUUAGUGGACUAGGUAAUCAAGGGAUGGAGAUUGAAUCUCCUUUGAAGGAAAGGGUGGACGAAUGCCACACGGAAGAAUUUGACGAAGCUUUAAAGGGUGUUAUGGUUGGAGGGUUGAAGCCUAUCGCGUUUGGAGAGGAAGGCGCGGCUGCAGGAAGUAACCUUAUGCUCUCACCACGUUGGCGCAUGAUUGAAGGGCUCUCUGAAGUGGGGGCCUCUACUUCAAAUCCGAGAAGAUCAGUGAGAAUUAAUGCACGUAUUACUAAGGCUGGGGCUUUCUCUAAUCAUAGACAUGGUAUGUCUUCAGUGUCCAUCUCUGAUGGGGAUUUCGUCAAUUGUAAUACUCGAAAUUGUGACCCACCAAAGCUUUGGGAGAUCGGUAAACAAGCGGGGCUGUACUGUACAAAGGACGAGGAUGAGGUGGUUAAGGAAUAUAUGUGCCUAGAGGAGAGAGACUUGGUGUUUUUGCAGAGUUAUGAGGAGGGUAAGCAGAAGGAUCAAUCAUGUUAAUUGUAAACCUGAAUAUAAGAGGGGUGGGGGGAAGCACAAAGACUAGAUACUUGAGGCAUAUUAUAGCAAAGGAAGGUGCAAAAUUCGCGUGUAUUCAAGAAACGAAAUUGAGAACUUGUACAAAUGUAAAAUGUUUCUCCCUUUGGGGGGACAACAACGUGGGCUGGGUUCACUAUGGUGGAGAAAAUGGGAGUGGAAGCUUGUUGACUAUGUGGCAUAAGGAUGCUUUCACCUAUGAAAGUCAUGAAAUGGGGAAGGGGUUCAUUGCGGUGGUUGGACAGCACACUAAAUCUAGCUGUAGGUGUGUGGUUGUAAAUGUUUAUUCCGCAUGCUUGUUGAGAGAAGAUUGAUAUGUGGGGGAAUUUAUCUGCUAUUAAAGGGGCUUCUUUGGACCCAAUUUGGUGCUUCUGUGGAGAUUUUAACGCUAUUAGAAAGCGAGGAGAAAGGAAAGGAACAAGUGUACGGGACAACGAUACAAGCGAGAUGGGAAGUUUUAAUAACUUCAUUGAAUCUAAUAUGUUGAUUGAACUACCAAUUGUAGGCAAAAAAUACACUUGGUUUAGUUCAAACAGGAAGGCAAUGAGCAGGUUAGACAGAGUGUUAGUCUCUAAAGAAUGGUUGCAGGAAUGGCCAAUGGGUAAGCAGUAUGUGCAACGUAGAGAGGUUUCUGAUCACUGUGCGAUAGUGGUGAAGUCUUUGGUUAAGGAUUGGGGACCUAAACCCUUUCGGACCAUUGAUGCGUGGUUUAUGGAGAAGGGAUUCUUAACGAUGGUGAAGGAUUGGUGGACCUCUUACCCCGUUCAGGGGAAUGCUUUUAUAGUGUUUAAAGAGAAACUGAAAUGUUUAAAGGGAGACUUGAAGAUUUGGAAUAGGGAUAGUUUCGGUAACAUGGAGUCUUCUAAGAAGAAGAUUUUGGAGGAGCUUGAGGCUCUUGAUUGCCAGGCAUGUAGUGGAGUUUUAGACGUUAGCGAGAAUUUGCAGAGGUUGGGCUUGUUGAGUCGUCUAAAGGAAACCGAUAGGAGGAUAGAAUCCUUAUUGAGCCAAAAAGCUAGAACCAAUUGGCUUAAGUAUGGGGACUCUUGCACUAGAUUCUAUCAUUCCUCUCUAAGGUGGAGACGCCUUAGAAACGAAGUUAAAGGUGUGGAGGUGGGAGGUCAAUGGUGUGAAGAACCCUGUACAGUUCGGUUGGAAGCGAAGAAGCUCUUUGAAUCUAGAUUUACAGCAACGAAAGACUUUGGUGUAAGACUAGAUGCGGUUGAGUUUGAAUCCCUAACCUGGGAAGACAGCAUGAGCCUUCUAAAAGUGUUCUAUGAGGAAGAAGUAAGGGAUGCCGUGUGGCAAUGUGAAGGUUCUAAGAGCCCAGGACCUGACGGUUUUAACUUCAAUUUCAUUAAGAAAAGCUGGGACUUUGUAAAAGAGGAGGUUAUGGCAAUUAUGAAUCUCUUCCAUGCUACAGGUGCUUUACCGAAGGGAUGCAACGCAUCCUUCAUUGCUUUGGUCCCGAAGAUUAGGGACCCUAUCAAACUGGAGCAAUAUCGACCUAUUUCGUUAGUAGGGGCUAUGUACAAAAUCAUCUCUAAGGUGUUGGCUGGCAGAAUCAGGAACGUCAUCUCCUCAAUAGUCGAUGAUAGCCAAUCAGCUUUUGUAAAGAACAGAGGGAUACUUGACAGUGUGCUAAUGGCCAAUGAAGUAGUAGAGGAUAUAAGGAGGGGUGGGGGGAGUGGCUUGUGUCUGAAGGUGGAUUUUGAGAAAGCUUAUGAUUCGGUAAGAUGGGAAUUUCUCUAUGACAUGCUCCAAAGGUUGGGGUUUCAAAAUAAGUGGAUUAGCUGGAUCAGAGGAUGCAUGGAAAGUUCCACCGUUUCAGUGCUUGUAAACAGGAGCCCAACGGAGGAAUUUAAACCUUCCAGAGGGCUGAGGCAGGGCGAUCCUCUUGCCUCCUUCCUGUUCAUAUUGGUAGUAGAAGGCUUGGCAGGUCUAGUAAGACAAGCUACUAAGGCGAAUCUACUCUCUGGCCUUAAGAUUGGGAGGAAGAAGGUUGAGUUGAGUAUCCUGCAGUUCACAGAUGACACCAUGUUCUUCUGUGAGGAUUCCUACACCAAUGUGGUGACGUUGAAGGCAAUACUAAGGGGUUUUGAGUUAGCUUCANNNNNNNNNNNNNNNNNNNNNNNNNNNNNNNNNNNNNNNNNNNNNNNNNNNNNNNNNNNNNNNNNNNNNNNNNNNNNNNNNNNNNNNNNNNNNNNNNNNNNNNNNNNNNNNNNNNNNNNNNNNNNNNNNNNNNNNNNNNNNNNNNNNNNNNNNNNNNNNNNNNNNNNNNNNNNNNNNNNNNNNNNNNNNNNNNNNNNNNNNNNNNNNNNNNNNNNNNNNNNNNNNNNNNNNNNNNNNNNNNNNNNNNNNNNNNNNNNNNNNNNNNNNNNNNNNNNNNNNNNNNNNNNNNNNNNNNNNNNNNNNNNNNNNNNNNNNNNNNNNNNNNNNNNNNNNNNNNNNNNNNNNNNNNNNNNNNNNNNNNNNNNNNNNNNNNNNNNNNNNNNNNNNNNNNNNNNNNNNNNNNNNNNNNNNNNNNNNNNNNNNNNNNNNNNNNNNNNNNNNNNNNNNNNNAAUGCAGCUCUUCUGGCUAAAUGGAGGUGGAGAUACAUUUCGGAGGAGAAAGGGAGAUGGAAGGAACUGCUAGAUUCGAAGUAUGGCUCGGAAGUGCAGAUUCCGGUCAAACUUCAAUCAUGGUGGUGGAGAGACUUACACAAAGUCUGUAGGGAGGGUGAAGGUGAAAGGUGGUUUCAUAAAGAAAUUGGAUGGAAAUUAGGAUGUGGAGAUAAAAUUAGGUUCUGGGAGGAUGUGUGGAUUGGUAACUGUAAUCUCAAAACUUUGUUCCCCAGAUUAUACUUGUUGUCUUUAAACCAGGGGCACAAGGUGGGAGAGGUAGGUGUGUGGGAAGAGUCGGGUUGGUGCUGGCGGUUAAGGUGGAGACGGGAAAGAUUUGAGUGGGAAUCCGCUCUAGUACAAGAACUUGAAGUGCUCAUAACCACGACAACCAUUCUUAAAGAAGAGAAGGACGUCCAGGUAUGGGGGAACGAGGAGAAAGGGUGCUUCUCAGUCAAUAAUGCUUACGUGUGUCUAUCAAAACAAGGAAGAGGGCCUCAACAUGAUGUCUUUAAGUCGCUGAGGGAAGCUAAGGCGUUCCCAAGUGCGGUGACUGUAGCGUGGAGAAUUAUGAUGGAUAGACUUCCUACUAGAAUAUGUUUGAGAAGGAGAGGGGUGUUGAUGGAAACAACCUUAUGUGCUCUUUGCCAGACAAAGGAUGAAUCGUGUCAACAUCUUUUUUUGGAUUGUAAAUAUGCUAAUCAAGUGUGGUCCAUGUGCUUCAAGUGGAUUGGAAUGUUGUUUGUUCAACACAAUGAUAUAAUGACGCACUUCGAGAGCUUCAACCUGUUUCAGGUUAGUCAUAAUCAAAACCUGGUUUGGAAAGGGGUUUGGGCAGCGGUAGUCAGGUGUAUUUGGGAUCAGAGGAACUUGGUAGUUUUCAAACAAGGCGUUGUAGAUGCAGAAGAAAUUUUUCAGCAAGCACAAAUUAAAUCUUGGCAAUGGCUGAAACAUAAGACAAGUUCCUUUAACUACUCCUUAGUGGAUUGGGUCCUGAAUCCAAUGUGCUGCAUAAAAAGCUACAAAUAACUAGAUCUUGGUGACAUGCUCGGUGGAGGAAAGGAGGAGAUGUUGCUAGCGUGGGAAUAAGGCAUUGGUAGUGUGCUGGUUGCAGGGUUUAGAGGUUGCUGACUAAAGGUUUUAGUUUCCAUUGGUCUUGUCCUGUUCUGUAGGUACCGACUGAACUGGCCAGCUUAGUUUCUCAGACAGAUCGGUGGUGAAUUGCCCCUGUCAUGCUCAUUGGAUUGGAAGCUGUUGUCACAGUCAUACUUGCGGGAUGGUGCUUUUAAUUCUCCUAUGGAAGGUUGCAAUGCAGCUGGCUACAGUGGGCGAACCUGAGCAAAGGAGUACCUCAGGGUUCUCCUUGGAAGGGUGAGGUCUAUUGUUUGGUGUAAGUAGCGGAAGGCAAGGGUUCUGACUCUAGAGCAUCUGAAGGACUGUUAUGUGGAAGGAGUUAAGGAGGGGUAAGUAGUACCCUAAGAAGCUAUGGUUAAGUGCAAGAAUCAAAUUGCCUAAAGUGUAAAGUGGUAUGGUGAAAUCAACAUGGUUGCGUGGUAGACAUGAUGUGGCACGGUCUAAGGGAGCCUUAUAGCAGAAACUAACUGGUUUUUACUGGUUUGGGGACUUAGGCCAACCGUCCAAUUGGGACGAUCUUCCAUCAACUGCAAUACCAAAGGACUUGGACCUGGAGCAAUAGAUCAGACCCAAUUACUAUAAAGGUGAGCAGGUGCAUCUGUGACCUAGGGGUUGCAGCUGUGGUUACAUGAGCUAUAGAAUGGGUUGGAGGUGUGUAGUUGGGCUUAUACAUGGUUGACAUAUAGUGCUCUAGGUGCAUAUGGCUCUGCAGAAGCAAUUUUUAAUCAGGACUUAUCAAGCCUAGAUGGUUGAGCUUGUGGGAACCUGAUACUUGCAUCUGUAUUUUAAGCUUGUAAAGGGUUGGGGUACCCCUUAAGUAUCCCAAUUUAAUUUUCAUUAAUUCAUUGCUGAUAAAAAAAAAUAUACUAAGAAAAUUAAUAAGGUUAAUCAACAAUUAAACACUAGGUAAUAUAUUUCUAAUUACAAUCCAUGUCCUUAAUCCGAUCCAUUGACACAAAACUCAUGAUAAUCAUAUAAAUACACAGAUUCCAAGAAUCAUGUACGUUAUUAUUAUACACUGAAUACACCAAGUGCUGACUACCGAAAUCUCACUUGAGUGUCGGAGUACCUUUUGCAGGCACCAUCCGAGCUUGAGUUCACAAGGACGAGAGAAGGCAAAACGAGUACUAAGAGUUCACACAGAGGGGGGAGAAACCGACCGAGAAAAAAGAACAAUUAUUCGGUUUGAACCACGUUCGACAACAAACUCAUUUAUCUAAAAAAUAUCAACAUAUAAACACUACUUAAGUGAUGUAAGUUUCUCUUUGGUCGUUAAUUUCAUUAUUCAUAUCUAUUAUUAUAUAUAUAUAUAUAUAUAUAUAUUACUACCAAGUUCUUCUAGAACAUUGCACCUAAGUGUCUGCAUUUCAAUCACUUCAUUAAAAGUAAUUACCAUAACCAUUUUCACAAUAAAAAUAAAGUUACAAAAAAAAUAUUAUAACAGAAGUAAAAUUGUAAGAAGAAUAUGUAUAUUAGUAUAGAUGCCUGACAUGAAAAAUGUGGAGUUUAAUUGCAGAAAGUAAAAAAGUAGAAGAUAAAAAGCUAUAGUGAAAUACAAUUGUUAAUUGAUGCACAGUGCACACCAAAUUCUACAAAUAUGGCAGAAAUUGACCACAAGCCGAAUACAAGGAGCUCGAAUUGGAAUGCAAAAGACAUAAUUCUUGCUUCCCAUAAUUACUCAUUAAAUACAGACAAGUCAUAUUAAACACAUGCUACCAAUAUGUGUAAAAAAGGGAGUCAAAAACACCAUAAAAAAUCUAUGUAAAAAAUUUGCUCACAGUACAGUUGCUUAUGUCAUAUGAUGAUUGCUGAAUUGCUACGGACAUUGGUGGCACAAAGGAAUUGAGCAGAAACCACUCUACCACAUUCAGCUAUAUAUACAAUAGGAACCGCACAAUCGUCUAAUGCAACUCAAAGUAUUUGCUUCUGUUGAAAAACCGCUGUAUAUUAACUCCCAGUAAUUUUUUUACCUAUUCGGCUAAAUGCAACAGGUCUGGCGCCAGAUGCAGUUGAAUACUUUCGGCAGACGAAACAUUCACAUACAAUGAAGUUAGCUAAUUUUAACCUUGAAAAUCACCCAUAAAUGACAAGGGACCAAACAAUAUUUCCUUCAAAACCAACGGAACGAAUUCAUAAUACCCUGAUCCAACACGAUGUAGAAGCUUCAAAAGCCUUGAAAAUUGACUUGCACACAAGCAAUGAAGCUCCGAAAAGAAAACUAGCUUAUGAUAACAUGUGGUGCAGUACAGGACUCAGUCAUUCUGCUAGACCAGAACUGUCUCAGAACUAACGCCAGAAGCAUUUACAGCACUUACAUCCUUCUCAUUUUCACAUCCAAUUUCAUUUUUGGAAUCAGAUUCUACCUGCAACAAACUCUUAUCAGCAAGUUUGAGAGCAGAUCUGGAGUCAUCUAUAUUUUGAUCAUCCCCCUUUCUAGUAUUCUCUUCCGGUAAAUUACUUGAAGGAACGGCUUCAAGAGAGUCAUUCAUACAAACCUCUUUAGUAGGUGAAGUAUUGCCUGCCUUUUGAGAACCCAACACUGGAUUAAUGUCAAGCUCUGACGAAUCACAAUUCAUAGCAGUGAAUGAGUGACAUUUCUUGUCAAGGUUUUCUGGUGAACAUGGAUCAGAAGAAGUUUCCUUAACCAAAGUUUGAACGUUUGGAAUAUCUUCUGAGUGACUACUCUCAGAAUUGUCAUUAGGAGAAAUGGACUGACAUUUCGAAGGAGAACUUAAUUUAUCAACAGGAGCAGCAGGCACCACUUUAUUCUUCAUUUCUAGUGCACUGUGACUAGUUCUAGAAUGAGAAAUACAUUUAUCUGAAACUGAAUCAGACACCAUUUCCUCGGAAUCAGAUUUGGAACAGAGAGUCCCCUCAACCAAAAUAUGGUUGUUUAGUUCUUCAGAAGCAUCACUGCAUUCAUCAUUCGUCUCAUUAGCAGGAUUUGAACUAACAUCAUCACUUCCAUGAGCAUCUUGUGGAGUUAAAGAACCCAUAUCUGACCGAUUUUCCAUUUUCAUAGGGGUAAAAUCAUUGCCUCCAUUUCCCAUUUUCUCAGAACCUGUCAGGAAAAAAAAGUAAAACUUAUGUAAAGGGAAAAGUAACUUCAGAAUUUUUUUUAUAAAAAAACAGCAUAAACAGAUGCAGUUUUAUUACCCUCACGUUUUCCUUGUUCAACUAACAGCUUCUGUAACAUAUCUAUACCAGGGAAGACCAUCAUAUUAAGUGACUUCAUUUCUUGCCUGAGUGAAUUGUCUAGAUGUGUGAAGCCAAAAAUCGUUGUCCAUGUAUGUGUGAGUUCAGCAAUUGCAGGAAUAACUAGUUUUUCAACUUUGAGAGAGCAAAGGGCCUUUUGAUCAAGGAGGAACAAAUGAGAUAAGAAUGAGUCAACGUCAAUAAAAGAUGCAUGCAAAAAGGUCCAACCAAAAUUUUAAACAGAUUUUAGGUGCAAGGAAAUCACAAAGAACCAUAGCUUAAAGGUUUACCGAUUCAAUGGCAGAAAAGAGCCGGCGGCACAUCCCCUGGCACCUAUAUACAUGGCGAGUUCCAAUGAAUGGCAUCUCUGCUAUCUUAGUUCCAUGCAACCUAAGACAUGAAAGUAAAUAUUUACAUGUAUACUCCCAAACUAACAUAAAUAUACAGCAACAUAGAUAUAAGUUAUGAGAGUGAGAGAUCAAGAAAACAGCCAUGGCCUUCUACCAUCCUUUUAGGCUAAAAGAUCAGUAAAACUGAAUGUUACUUUCAAGAAGGUUAGAAACAAGAGCAAGUGGCUGCCCAAUGCCACUCAUGCUUUACUUGUUACAAAGUGAUAUGGCAUUGUUGUAUAAAAGCCAUAGGAUUAGGGCACUGCCAAACUUAUGAAUCCUUUCUCCUCACCAUUGCCACAUUGGUAAUUUCUUACUCAUUUUAACAGACUAGUGUAUGAAAAAGAGAAGCUCUCUCUUAAGUAGUCACACUAGUGUAUCAUAGUUAGCAAAUUCAAAAGACUAGUCAUAUAAAAAAGAAAAGCUCUCUUUAAAGCAAUUGAAGUAAGCCAAUCCAUACUUUACAUUAUAAUGAAUUUCAUUCUACAUGAUCACAAAAAAUUCUCUAAGUAACUACAAUGUUAUAUUUUUUCGUUGUCAAGUGUCAACCACUCAUCUUCCUUAGUUCCCCUCAUUUUUCUAUGGUAGAUCUGUAAUUGGGUAGACUUUUCAAUCAAUUGCAACUGAAAAUCCUUUCACUAUCCCAAAGUCUACUAUAUCUGCAGUUUUCCCUCUUGAAAAAAAAGCUCAAAUAUCAAGUAAAUGAGUCCACAGGGCAAAGUCUGAGUCUUAGUACCUGAUAGAUGCUGCAGCAAUUAUUUCAUCCCCUCUUUCCAAAAUAGCAGCAUAAAAUCCACCAUAGCUCAACCGGCUAAAGUUUGAUCUGAAAUGAAAAAUAGACAGAGAAAAACAGUUAGGCUAGAAAUAUCUAACGGAAAACAAAAAUAUACAGAGAGAGUAACUUUGAUCUAUUAAUUUAAUGUUCUUCAAGCACAAUGUCGAGGUGCAUGACAAUACCAUGAUAUUAACACCCGAAGCUACCAUUGUUGCUUGAAAAACUGUACCCUAAACCCUAAUUUUACAUCUUAAAAAAACUUUCAAAUUUUUUGUAGUUUCCAGUAUUUUUUUCUUCUAAACUUAAUUUUUUGAUAUUUCAACUCUACCAUAAACCCAAAAAGAUCUGAACUAAAAAUAAUAUUUUGAUGGUUUUAUGUUGACGAAAAUCAACAAGGGGGUCACAAAUUUGCUUGAUUUUUAAAAUAAAAGACUUAAUUAGCUUGGAAAAAAAACAUUUGGAGACCAAAACCACACAUAACUCAAAUUAGAGGAACCAAGAGUGCAAAUAUGCAAUUAAGCCUAAAUUAAUCGUCUCAUUUCCUACCAGUUUAAAUUAUCAAGCAGUCAACAUCAUGUGCAAAGUCAGACAGUAUUAAAAGUUAAAACAACAAAAAGGAACACAUAGGUAUGAUGGUUUACUCUAGAGCUCACCCAGUAUUAUAUAAAACGUUACGGAUUAAAUUGAUCCCACUCCUCCGAUCAACAACAGGUAAAAAGCAUUCAUCCAUCACAGCCAGUCCAAUAGCCAACUUUGAAUUGCAUUCAACUCUCUGGGUAAUUCCCCUGCAAGCUGCCUCUGAGUCUUCAUCUGUUCUAUGAAUGAGAGACCAUGAAAAACCCGCUUCUAGUUCAUGCUUGGUACCAAGGUAUUUCUUCAAGUGUUCAGAAAUCUGUAAAAGUACAAUAUAACAAUAAUACUAACGAGUCAGAAUCUGGCCUUACCAUAGCAGCAAUACAAAAGUUCACUUCUAAUUUUACUCUUCCUUGGAAAAUUACCAUUCUAAGAAACAAUUAAAAUACACAAUCCUCCAAAAAGAAAGUUACUCAGAGUCGUGAAAGAAACACAAAUUGCAUAGACUAGUGCAAAAGCAUAAGUGGUACUCAUGGAUGCGUAAUUAUACAGUAUAAAAUUGUUAGAAAUAAAUAUAUGUUUUUCAUGUUAUACUUCAGAACUUGGAAAACCAGAAACAACUGUAAGAGGUACCUCUUUACACUCUUUCCCACAAAAAGAAAGGCUUGAAGUAUUCAAGCUAUUAGGAUUGGUAUCCAUCUCCUCAGAGCAAGAGUCAUGAUCUAUGCAAAUGAAAAGAAUAACUUAAAUGAAGUCAAAGGAAAAAAAAAAUAAGGGAUAUAAACAUAUUGAAGAAACAUCAAAUAUAAAUGAGUCAAAGUGAAUACAUUUCUUCUCACAUAAGUUGCAUGUCCGUAGGACAUACACAGAUGCAUCAUCUUUUUCAGAUGUCCUAGUAGCUAUGCCACAAAAUUUACAGGUGCAAUUUGUACAAUGCCAUUCACCAGCAGGAAGCAUCUGCAACAACAUAAAUGGAUUACUAAUGAAGAAAACCAUCCUCCUAUAAUUAUUAGCAAAUAAUCAUGUUACUAAAAUAAGGUACAGCGUGCAAUUGCACCAAGUCAAUAACACCUCUGUCAAAGUGUCAAUAAUUGAUUAUUAUAGUUUUUGUGUAGAAGAACACUGACUAUACCGUGUGAAAACCAAUACAAAAUGCCUACUAGAUAUAAAAGAAGUUAGUCCUGUGGAGUUAUUGACUUAGUUAUAAAAACUAUUCUACGGGUAGGCAUUCAGCAGGCACAAAUUUUGUCUAAAGAUACAACUUUUUGUCAUUCCCCAACAGACAUGAGGCAAAAACAUAAUAACAAGAAAUCUUCAGUCCCUUUGACGUCAUAGCAAAAAAGCUACCAACAAAUAGAAAUUAUUGUCCCACUUCCACCACCCCAAACAAAAAUUAGACAAACCAAAUGGCAUCAGAAAGGGGCAUCAUAAAUUUAAUAUGCUACUGUUCACUAAGAGACUAUGCAAGACAAUUCAGAGAACAAAUAUGAACUAUGUUGAGAAGUGAGAACCAUAACAACACAUAUGGAGAAUAAAAUAUGCACACAUACUUGAAUAUCCAAGCAACUCUGAUGAAAUGUUGAUGGACAACCAUCACAACAGAUUAAAUCCCCUCCAUCUCCACAUAUACCACAUGUAUCAUCGUUUGGAUCAUUGCCAUCAAUAUCCACUGAAUGGAAACCAAUUUUUUCAGAAUGCUCUUGUCUGUUCCAUGCAUCUAUUUGGCAUUGUAGAAGAGAAACACCAGAUUCCAAAUAUAUAUUUUGAUAUGGCUGUGGCAAUUUGCUUCCUGCAUGAAGUUCAAACUUUGAAACUGUAAGGAUCUUACUGCAGCAGCCACAAUGAAUGCCAUCUCUUGUGAUCCACCCCUCCAGAAGGACUUUUUUCCGUCUGCGGUACUGAACCUUUUGACUUAACUCUACAGUUCCAGAGUCAAUUAACCAGGCAAGAACUGUCCUUUUCCCCACAUAUGGGACAAAGCCAUCAGAUUCUGAAUUUGAUCCUUUAUUAGAACUGCGAACUAGCAAGGUACAUCUUCCAUGUUUUUUACUCUUCCUUCCGUGUAUAUGAGGAUCACCUCCAAAUAAUGAUUUUUCUAUUCCAUCACUUGAGUGAUGGGUAGCAUUCUGGAUUUUAGUGCGAGCAGUGGUAAUGGUAUUUUCAGACAUUUUACUUUUCAUUGACUUACUUCCCUGCUUUAUAAAGGAGCUUAACUUCUCCUCAUUGCUGUCACUAUCUGUGCUAUUCAUAUCACACUUGUUGCUGGCAGAUCUCUUUCUUUGCGGCUCUUUUUCAUUACGACUUUCACUGUCAUAUUUUUUCUUCUUCUUUUUCAAUUCUUUCUCCAUUUUCUUUCUAGUUUUCCUUGUAAGCUGACUGAGCACCUCAUCUGCAAUAGGAGCAAAAGAAGAACUAUCCCCUUUGGCCUUGACCUCCUUAGCAUCAUCAUUCAAUUGCUUUUGAAGCGCAUCAUAGGCCUUGAUGAUGGACCAAUAGGCUGUACCUGCUGGAUUAAUGUAAACUGCAUCCAGGUAGUCUCUGUUCCUUCGAGGUCUAUAGUCUAUAGUCCAACCUGAAGUCAGCAGCAUCUCCCUUAUUCGCUCUCGCAGUUUCUGUUUUUCUGUACCACUACCACGCUUGACUUUCCCAUCUUUUGUUCCUGCGGUGGGGAGUUUUUCG
rnacentral:lncRNA from 1 species